rnacentral:lncRNA from 1 species
CCAGGCUGGCACCCAGUGACUUGCUCUGCGAUGCUGGGCCCAGUUGACCACUGGCUUAGGCGGGAGCCUGGGCUGCUGUCACACUAGGAGGGAAAAGCUGUGCUUGGUUGACUAACCCUUGUCCUAAAUACGCUAUGUGCUUGGCGUGUUGGGAAUCCACCCUCAGAACAUGCUGUGUUCAGUAUGUGUUAAUCAAGUUUGCCGGAUGCUGGGGUCUCCUUGUCUGUUGACCUGUCCUUCCUACAUGUUUACAGGGUUGGCAUGCACUCACCCACAUUUGGGACGUGCUGGGUGUAAAUCCACUUGGCA